UACGUAGGGUGCAAGCGUUAAUCGGAAUUACUGGGCGUAAAGCGUGCGCAGGCGGUUUUGUAAGUCUGACGUGAAAGCCCCGGGCUUAACCUGGGAAUUGCGUUGGAGACUGCAAGGCUUGAAUCUGGCAGAGGGGGGUAGAAUUCCACGUGUAGCAGGUGAAAUGCGUAGAGAUGUGGAGGAACACCGAUGGCGAAGGCAGCCCCCUGGGUCAAGAUUGACGCUCAUGCACGAAAGCGUGGGGAGCAAACAGG
rnacentral:rRNA from 1 species